CUAGCGUGAAUGACUUCCUUCUUUCAACUCCAUUUCUCUCUUUCUCGUUUCUCUCUCUUAUUCCAAUUUUCUCCCUCCUCCUGGACAUUAUCUCUGCUCUACGAUUCUCACCUUCUUCAAGUUGUCCCUUCGAAUUUCUUCAAUUUUCGCCAAGUAAGUUUACAAUUGUAUUUCCAUUUUGAUUGUUGAAAUUUGGGUUUCGAAAUUCUUUGUAUAGUGUUCCGUGAUUUUGAUGGAUAAACUUAGGGCUUUUAAAAUUGUGGUUUUGUUUCUGUUUGUGCUACUCCGAUUGCUAUAUUAGGGAUUUUAAUUGCUAUCUUGUUUUCGUUUUUGCAAUUGUCAUUGCUAAUUCAAAGCGUAUUUAUAAUGAGGUCCUAUGUGAAUUCUUCAAUGCAAUGGUUAUUUCAAUUUGGCUUCUGCGAUUGAAAGGGCAGCCAGCAACACUCAGUAAGCUUGCUAAGAGUAUCGAGUCUUUGACUGACACUCUGGAAGUUGUUAACUAUACAGAUUCCUAACCACUGCGGGCUGAACUACUUCGCUCAAGUAAAGCCAGACAUUGUACAGCGCGUGUAUGGCAUCAUCAAUGUAACAUCCAUUACGAUUAUUAGUUAGAAAGGGCGGCAUAGUUUCGCAAGUCAAGGGCAAGGUGACUUGUGGCUGACUCGAGUAUUUGAUUGAGUAUGGAUGAUUAGUUCUUCUUCCUUGUGAGUAAUUAUGGCUGAUUGAUGUUGGUUGGAGUUGAAUGCGCCACAAAGAUAGAAGCAUAUAUGAAAUCAGAUUGGUAUUCUCUUAUCUCAAUUCCUUACUUUCCUGUUAUUCUUUCUCAAUUGUGAAUCUUCUGUUCUUCCUCCCUCUUUUUGCAGAUACCUGAAAAUUUUUGAGUGGUGCAGGAAGAUAAUGCGCAUAAAGAGAAUAACAUCGUAUUUUUAGAUUUAUAUUUUUAAAUGAUAAUUUUUUUUCUCAUCUUAAUAAUUCGUCAUUUACUUAUUUUGAUGUAAAGUCAUGUCGUUCGACAAUGAGAUUUUUGAGAGGUACUAAUUAUGUAAUGACUUAAAUUAUUUGUAGAUACAUUUUUUUUGGAGUUAAUACUACCAAUAUUGAUUUUCAUGAAA